AGCAGCCGCGGUAAUUCCAGCUCCAAUAGCGUAUAUUAAAGUUGUUGCAGUUAAAAAGCCCGUAGUUGAGUUUCGGGGUCAGUAGAUUGGUCGUGCCACUGGUAUGUACUGGUCUUACUGGCUCCUCCUUCCUGAUGAACCGUAAUGCCAUUAAUUUGGUGUUGCGGGGAGACUGGACUGUUACUUUGAAAAAAUUAGAGUGUUUAAAGCAGGCUAACGCUUGAAUACAUUAGCAUGGAAUAAUGAAAUAGGACGGUGGUCCUGUUUUGUUGGUUUCUGAAUCACCGUAAUGAUUAAUAGGGAUAGUUGGGGGCAUUAGUAUUCAAUUGUCAGAGGUGAAAUUCUUGGAUUUAU
rnacentral:rRNA from 1 species